rnacentral:rRNA from 2 species
GCUGGCGGCGUGCCUAAUACAUGCAAGUCGAGCGAACAGAUAAGGAGCUUGCUCCUUUGACGUUAGCGGCGGACGGGUGAGUAACACGUGGGUAACCUACCUAUAAGACUGGGAUAACUUCGGGAAACCGGAGCUAAUACCGGAUAACAUUUGGAACCGCAUGGUUCUAAAGUGAAAGAUGGUUUUGCUAUCACUUAUAGAUGGACCCGCGCCGUAUUAGCUAGUUGGUAAGGUAACGGCUUACCAAGGCGACGAUACGUAGCCGACCUGAGAGGGUGAUCGGCCACACUGGAACUGAGACACGGUCCAGACUCCUACGGGAGGCAGCAGUAGGGAAUCUUCCGCAAUGGGCGAAAGCCUGACGGAGCAACGCCGCGUGAGUGAUGAAGGGUUUCGGCUCGUAAAACUCUGUUAUUAGGGAAGAACAAAUGUGUAAGUAACUGU